AGGGUUCGAUUCUGGCUCAGGAUGAACGCUGGCGGCGUGCUUAACACAUGCAAGUCGAACGGGAUCCGAGGGUGCUUGCACCUUUGGUGAGAGUGGCGAACGGGUGAGUAACACGUGAGUAACCUGUCCUUUUCUUUGGGAUAAGCUCCUGAAAGGGUGUUUAAUACCUUAUGUUCCGUCUUCUCCGCAUGGGGUUGGUGGGAAAGAUUUGUUUCGGUAAAGGGUGGGCUCGCGGUCUAUCAGCUUGUUGGUGGGGUGAUGGCUUACCAAGGCUUUGACGGGUAGCCGGCCUGAGAGGGUGGUCGGUCACAUUGGGACUGAGAUACGGCCCAGACUCCUACGGGAGGCAGCAGUGGGGGAUAUUGCACAAUGGGCGCAAGCCUGAUGCAGCGACGCCGCGUGGGGGAUGAAGGCCUUCGGGUUGUAAACUUCUUUUGCUCUGAACAAGGCGCACUAUUGGGUGUGUUGAGUGUAGGGGUUGAUUAGCGCCGGCUAACUACGUGCCAGCAGCCGCGGUAAUACGUAGGGAGCGAGCGUUAUCCGGAAUCAUUGGGCGUAAAGAGCGCGUAGGCGGCCUCUCAAGCGGGAUCUCUAAUCCGAGGGCUCAACCCCCGGCCGGAUCCCGAACUGGGAGGCUCGAGUUCGGUAGAGGCAGGCGGAAUUCCCGGUGUAGCGGUGGAAUGCGCAGAUAUCGGGAAGAACACCGAUGGCGAAGGCAGCCUGCUGGGCCGCAACUGACGCUGAGGCGCGAAAGCUAGGGGAGCGAACAGGAUUAGAUACCCUGGUAGUCCUAGCCGUAAACGAUGGACACUAGGUGUGGGGAAGUUUUUUCUCCGUGCCGCAGCUAACGCAUUAAGUGUCCCGCCUGGGGAGUAC
rnacentral:rRNA from 1 species